rnacentral:rRNA from 1 species
AGAUGGGAGAAACAAUGCUAAUGGUGGAUGCCUAGGUAGUUUGAGCCGAAGAAGGACGUGUGCUAAAGCACGAAAACAACGGUGAGUCCUUAUGUAGACGUUAUUAAUCGUUGGUUUCCGAAUGGAGUAAUCCCUCGUUGUGUAAACAACGAGACCAGAUGCCGUAUGGUAUCUGGGGGGAACCCGGGGAACUGAAACAUCUAAGUACCCGGAGGAAAAGAAAUCACAUGAGAUUCCGUAAGUAGCGGUGAGCGAAACCGGAACAGUCUAAAGGAGGUGCCGCAAGGUACCUCCCUAUGCGGGAGCCCAAUAUUUUUUCUUUUUUGAUAGAAAAACAUCCUGGAAAGGAAGACCACAGAAGGUGACAGUCCUGUAUUCGAAAUGAGAAAAGAAAGAUAGGGAAUUCCCAAGUACCACGAGGCACGGCAAACCUUGUGGGAAGCAGGGUCGGUCACGAUCCAAGACUAAAUACUCAAACUGACCGAUAGUGAACUAGUACCGUGAGGGAAAGGUGAAAAGAUCCCCGUUGAGGGGAGUGAAAUAGUACCUGAAACCAUUAGCUAACAAACAGACAGAGUCAGGUGCCGUAUGGUACCUGAUAAUGUCGUGCCUAUUGAAGAAUGAGUCAGCGAGUUGUCCGACGAGCGCUUGUCUAACCCCAUUUUUGGGGGGAGGCGUAGCGAAAGCGAGUCCUAAUAGGGCGAAUCUGCGCCGUCGGUCAGACCCGAAACUGUGUGAGCUAACCAUGAGCAGGAUGAACCCCGCCGAAAGGUGGGGGAAGGUCCGAACCCGUUAGAGGUGAAAUUCUAUGGGACGACUUGUGGUUAGGGGUAAUAUGCCUAUCGAACACAGAGAUAGCUGGUUCUCCCCGAAAUAUAUUUAGGUAUAGCCUGUUCAGUUCAUUGGUGGGGUAGAGCUACUAGAUGGUCCCAGUGGCCUUUGGUCAUUUGGAUCAACUAAACUCCUAAUACACCAAAUGGUAUGAAUAGAGUCAGACCUAUCGGGAUAAGCCGAUAUGGUCGAGAGGGAAACAACCCGGACUUUCGUCUAAGGUUCCUAAAUGACUUUUAAGUGGUAAAGGCCGUUACAUUUCCAACACAGCAGGGAGGUUGGCUCAGAAGCAGCCAUCCUUUAAAGAGUGCGUAACAGCUCACCUGAAUAAUCCCGAUGUAAAUCGGGAUGGAAGUGUGGCGCCGAAAAUGAACGGAGCUAAAAAGUCUACCGAAGACAGAGAUUCUUCGUCUCGCUUGCGAGAUGAAGUCUGGUAGGGGAGCGUCCUGAUUACUGUGAAGCUUUGCUGUAAGGCGAGGUGGAGUUGAUCAGGAGUGAGAAUGCUGACAUAAGUAGUGUUUCUUCCGAUGAGAACUCGGAAUGCCGAAUACUCAAGGUUUCCUCAGCAACGUCAGUCGGCUGAGGGUUAGUCGAAUCUAACCACGAUAUCAAUUUGGUAUCGAGGGAUGUACAAGCCGUUAAUAUUCGGCUACUGUAUAUCGUGCGUUAUUAUUUGAUUGAUGACGAAAUAUGAAGCUCAAGCCUUCUAUAUGGGGGUCUAAGUAAUAAGUCUUUGCCGCAAGGCAAUUGCGAGUUAUUAAUGCAAUCUCAGCUUGCUGAGAGAGUUGGGGAACUUCGUGUUUCCGGGAAAAGUCGAUCAAAGAGUGCGAUAUAUAUUCGUACCGAAACCGACACUGGUGAGUUGGUAGAGAAUACCAAGGCAUACGGAUAAGAGUAGUUUCAGGAACUCGGCAAAAAAUCUGAGCGUAAGCUCUGCGAUAUGCUUUGUCCCGAUGAAAAUCGGGAUCACAGCAAAAGUUUAUCAACCGACUGUUUAGCAAAAACACAGGUUCCUGCAAACCCUAAAAGGGGAAGUAUAGGAGCUGAAACCUGUCCGGUACUGGUAAGUUAAUCGUUGGGGUUGAUCUCGAUAAGCAAUUAUCGAAUGAGGCUUCGGCGCAAGCUCCAGUGAACGACAGCUCUAACCCUGAGAGUUCUAAGGUAGCGUAGCCCCUUGCCGGGUAAGUUCCGGCCCGCAUGAAAGGUCUAACGAGUUGAUAACUGUCUUAAACUACUGUCCGACGAAAUUGAAAUGGCUGUGAAGAUGCGGCCUACCUGCAUAUGGACAAAAAGACCCCAAAAGCUUUACUGAAGUUUGACAUUGGUGAGAUGAAAUUAACUGUUGAGCGUAGGAGGGAGCCCCGGCGCAAGUCGGGACGACAAUGCAACACCUCUCUUUGAUUUUUUCUCACCUCAUCUCCGCAAGGGGAAACAGUGUUAGACGGUCAGUUUAACUGGGGCGGUUUCCUCCACAAGAGUAACGGAGGAGCGCAAAGGUUAGCUUAUUCCGGAUAGAAAUCGGAAUGUAAGUGUAAACGCAUAAGCUAGCUUGACUGUGAGGAUGACAAUCCGAGCAGAUGCGAAAGCAGGCGUUAAUGAUCCCCCGCAUGACUGUGAUAGUCAUCGGGGCUUAACGGAUAAAAGCUACUUUGGGGAUAACAGGCUAGUCACGCCCGAGAGUUCAUAUCGACGGCGUGGUUCGGCACCUUGAUUCAUCGGGGCGCAAUAGAAGUAAUUCUAUUUCCUGUUAUUUAUUAGUAAAUCAGCUCAUAACGGUGGACUCCAUUUGAUAUAUUUAAAGCAAAUGGACAAUACCGUGGGAAGUCUGACAGAAGAACAAAAGUCCAUUCUCAUUGGCUGUCUUUUAGGAGACGGUACAAUGAGAAAGAAGAAAAAUGCUCAUUUAGAAAUAAACCAUUGCUAUAAGCAAAAGGUUUUAGUCGAUUGGAUUUAUGGUAAGUUUAGUGAAUACGUCUUGACUCCACCAAAAUGGAGAAAAGGAAAUGGAUCUCGGGAAGCAUAUAGAUUUGCUACUCGAAGUUUAGGUGUUUUUACACCUUACUAUGAUCAAUUUUUCUUGCACAAGAAAAAAACUUUACCAGAAAAUCUCAAACUAGAUCCAAUUGUAUUAGCCAUAUGGUUUAUGGAUGACGGUUCUAAAAGCCGUUCAUCAGUCUACUUGAACACUCAACAAUUUAGUUUAAAUGAACAACAAAGACUGAUUUCUUUACUAAAGAAUCAGUUUGAAAUCGAAUCGACACUUAAUAAAGAUAAAAAAUAUUUUAGAAUCCGAAUAAGAACACGAAGUAUGAAGAAAUUUACUACUAUUGUUGAGCAAUUUGUUUUAAAGGAGUUUAAAUAUAAACUUCCUUCUGUUAUGACCCCGUAACGACUUGUCUCGCUUAGCGAGACAGAAUUCUGACUUAGGUCAGGAUUAACACGCUGACCCCUACUCAUUUAUUUGGACAAAAUAAAGAAAGAGGGUGAAGGUAUAGUCUAAACUUUUGAGAAAUCAAAAGAUCGACAGCGAUGUCGGCUCAUCGCAUCCUGGAGCUGAAGUCGGUUCCAAGGGUUGGGCUGUUCGCCCAUUAAAGCGGUACGCGAGCUGGGUUCAGAACGUCGUGAGACAGUUCGGACUCUAUCCUAUGCAGGCGAUUGGAUUUUUGAGGGGAGUCUUCCACAGUACGAGAGGACCUGGAAGAGGGAAUCCCUGGUCUACCGGUUGUUCCAAAAGAGCAUCGCCGGGUAGCUAAAUUCCCACCUGAUAAGCACUGAAUGCAUCUCAAGUGCGAAGCAGCCCCCGAGAUUAGAAAUCCUUACGGAGUCCCCCCGCAGAAUACGGGGUUGAUAGGCGCUAGGUGUAAGCAUAGCAAUGUGUUUAGCCAAGGCGUACUAACGGACCAUCUCCCAUCUCU